AUACCUUUCUCGGCCCUUUGGCUAAGAUCAAGUGUAGUAUCUGUUCUUUUCAGUUUAAUAUCUGAUAUGUGGGCCUUCGGCUCACAUGAUAUUAAAUCAAUUUUUUAAGGGGGAAGGUCCAUCAGGGUAGCUUGUUACUUAGGCCUUCGUGUGUCACCUAGGUGUUGCACUAUAGCGUUGGUGUUGACACUCAAUUU